UAAAUGUAUUUUCUCUCUCCAGCUGAGCGACGCCAGAUGACCGGAAAAGGACCCUCAUCUCUCUGAGACGUUGACCUUGACAAUGUGUCAGUCAGACACAUUAAAUGACAAAUAACUUAUUCUAUGUGGGUGUUGUUGAGUCCACUUAGCCUACAGAGGCCAUGCAUAGCAGUUCUUAAUGGAAGAACAAUCUCACUGAAUGGAUUGGAUUCUUAUAACCCAUGAUAAUAAUAUUUAUAACUCUGUAUCUUUUUGCCUGUCUGUCUGCCUCUGUCUGCCUGCCUGCCUGUUUCUCUCUCUCUCUAUCUCCCUCUCAACUUGAAUUACAAUAUUUCUCAUGUUCAGCUGAAUAAAAUAGAUGCAGCAUGAGGGUCCUUCAAUCACAGUCCAGUAGUUGAUAGGUGCACUUGUCUAGGUGUGUCUGUGAGCACAGCACAGCUGGUGUAGGCUAUAACCUAUGUUAACAUUAUUACAGUAUGAACAAAGGAUAUGUGGUAAUUCCAUGUGAGCAGCGAUGUGUUCAUCACAGGUAUAUACUCUACACCUACAUGCCAUGCCAGGAAAGUAUAGUUACCUACCCACUUUACCCAGAAGAUCUCAUGUUUUGUAAAUAUAGAUUUAAUUUUUUUUUGUAAAUCAACACUAACUCUUAUUUAAUCUAAGCUAAAUAAACAAAUAAAAGGAGGAUUUUACAAAUUAAAACAUUUGGGCUGGCAUUUCAGAAAGUAACGAAUCGUCACAAUUGUUUUAUUUGUUUGUUAUCAUGCCAACAGAGUGAAGUGAGUGGAGAGAUGCAGUAACAGUAGCUUGAUAGAGAGAGGCAGUGUAGCUAGCUACAGUCCAGGCACCUGCUACGCUAAUUAUCAUAACAGGUAUUUACUCUAAAUCAACAUUUUGUUUCGUACAUCUUAGUUCAUCUGCACAUCCUGGUUGUGAGAUGAACAUGCCAUAGCUACAACAUCUGAAGAUCUAUGAGGCCUUCAGCCAGGAGAGCUCUCCCAUGGAACAGGAAGUGAUGCGCAUAUACUCCUCCUCCCCCCCUCCGCUGGACGACGAAUCAGGGGGAGAGGAGGACGAUGACGAGUUUGGGGAUUUCUCUGGGGGUGUGGCAAUGUCAUCCAACCAGCCGUGCCCCUCCACCAGCCGUGCCCCUCCACAGCACUUUAGUGUUAGUAACUCCUCCUCUUUCUCCGGAACUACCCAUAGCAACGGAAUCUCGAAACAGUUCCGAGCAGCUGACGACCUGAAGAAGCCACGGGCGCCGGUGGUGGACCAAUCACAGCCCGCUAAUACUGGGACCUCAGAGGUCGGCAGGGUUCGGCCGGGGUUGGAGGUCAAAGGGCAGCCCUGUCAUUGCGGCCUCCCUGACCUCCCUCUCACCAAUGGGUUUACCAAGCGGAAUCACCAGGGGACCAUGUCUGCAGGUCUUGUACCGGCUGGCCUGGGCUCCCCCAGCCAGGAGCAGGGGUUUGCAGACUUCUCUGCGUUCGCCGAGCCAGAGAUGGAGCUGGAACCCUGGUGCUGCGGCUUCACUCACACUCACAGUACGGAGCACAGGAAGGACGGCAGGAUGGAAGGGACAAACCUAACCAACGGUUUCUGCAAUGCACACUCGGUCCAGAAGGACAUAGAGCAGCGGGCCAGAAUAGAGCCUGGCGGGCCUGACUCUCAAUGUUUAGCACAGCAAGGGGACAGGGACUGCACUGGAGUCCAGCAACACUGUGAGCUAAGGGGCCACCCUCAGGACUCUGGCCUCUUAGCCCCCAUAGAGGUGCUCUGUGCUAGGGGUGAGGGGCUGGGGGAGCCUGGAGAGAGGGCACCCAGCAUCAACAGGGAUAGCACACUUACACAGGACCCAGAACUGGGAGGGAGGAGGGUGGAGGAGGAGGAAGAUAAGGAGAGCGAAACAGAGGACAGUGUCUCUCCUCUCCCCACCACAGUCAGUGGGUCAGUGAGUGAGGAGUUUGUCUCCUCUGGUGAGGCUGUGUCGUCAGACGCUUUGGAGGAGUUUGGGAACUUUGGCGAGACGGUCUUCACUCCCUCGUCAAUAGGGGAGGAGGAGAAGGAGAAAGAGGAGGUGCAGCGGAGUGACCUCCGGGAGGAGACCGAGACAAAGAUGGUGGAGGAGGAAGAUGAAGAAGAGGACUUUGGAAUCUUCAGGGAUGCUGGAUCCUUCCCUAGCCAGGAGGACUUUGCUGACUUCAACCAAUCGGAGUCCAGGACACAGGAGGGCUUUGGUGUCUUUGAACAGGACUAUUCUGAGUACCUAGGUCCGACCCAGGCGUGUGGGGAGGAGGUUGGACAUGGAGACCUUCCUCUCAGCGACAGCUUUGCAGACUUCCACUCUGCUCCCCUGGAGGGGCAGGGUGAGAGGGAGGAGGGCUGGGGGGCGUAUGGGGACCAGAGAGGUCUGUCGGAGGGGGAGACCUGGGCAGAGUUUGGAGAGGAGGAUAGAGCCAGGUGGACAGAAGAGGCAGAGGAGAAGAAGUGGGGAGAGAGAUGUCGGGGAGGUGCUGCUGUACGAAGGGACAGUCUGCAGGACUCCCUGUCUAUCCGGCUACAGAGAGUCCUACAGACCAGUUUCCCUGCAGUGGCAGUCCCAGAACUGGAUCAGGAGAGGGAGGAGACUGGGGUGGAAGGGGAGGAGACUGGGGUGGAGGGGGAGGGGACUGGGGUGGAGGAGGAGGAGACUGCCAUGGAGGAGGAGGAGACGGAGGUGGAGGAGGAAGUGGAGGACAGUGGGGAUGAGGUGUUGAAUGUGCUCAGCCUCAGGGCUCUGCUAGAGACUCUAGACACACAGCCUGAGGAAGAGGAGACGAAGGGGCUCAACCACACUACACACUGGGUUCCUAGGGGCGCGUGGCGGCAGCCUCAGGACCUCCACGAUGCCGUGGGCCUGGGAUUCCAGUGGGGCGGUUCCCAUAGCAACAGGGCCCUGCUCCGCUGUCUGGGGAUGGACACCAGAAACAUGUUGUUCACUGGUCAGAGAAAGCAGCCUGUCAUAGUUCCUGUGUUUGCAGCCAGCCUGGGAAUGUUAGAGCCCACCAAAGAGCCACUGAGACCAGCUUCAACUGCGGAGAAGACUGCUGCCACAGCACAAGCACUUCCUGGGUCACAGGAAACCACCACCACCUCGUCAAUACAGCAGGGGGCCCCCCAGCCUUGGUCCCAGUUUGACUGGAGCAGCAGUGGCCUUGGCGUCAACCGUCUGGAUGGUACGUCCUCCCACUGAGCCCCCUACCUACAGGGCCAGAGAUGAGGCUGCUGUACACACUCUCCCCUCCGACUGCUGCUACCUGACUCCUGUUAUUCUCUUUGGUUCCAAUGUCCACACCAGCAUACUAGACUACCACCUAUAAAGAAUCAAUGUGUUGGACAUACUAGACUACCACAUAUAAUGAAGCAAUGUGUUGGACAUGCAUUCUAAGUAAGUGGUAUGUAAGUGUGGACUUUGGAACAUAGUCCCUAUCACUCCCCCCCUCUCCCCCUCCAUCUCUCCUCUGCUCCUCUCUUCACACUGAAGUGUCCCUCUAGAUGGUACUACUCAUUUUCAUGACCUACUGUCCCUUUAAUUGUAUCUUGUAUUCUGGAAUCCAAAGGCUCUCUCUCUAUACGUCUAACUUAACCGGCUACCUCGUCUGCCCUGUAUUGAGUGAUGCUGAUGAGGUUUCUCACAUGUUGUUACCCUUCAUCAUUGAUCCAAACACUGUUUCUUAUUGCACUGGGCGAGAGAUCUUUCAGUAUUAGUGGAGGAAAUGGGGCAAAGACAAGUCAAGCCAUAUAGAUGAAUGUCUGGCCAUAGCCUAAAGGGAAUCCCCCCAGUAGUUGCAUUUUGGUUGUAGUAGAAGUAAGCUCGUGAAAAAGCCUGAAAUCCAGACCUGUUCUGUACGAACAUUCCACUCCUUGUACUUUGUCAUAUGCCAAAAAUUAUGUUUGGCAUGACAUGAAGUAGAAUAUUAGCACAAACAGACUGGUAUCCAGACUAGAGAAAGCCAGGAUCCUCUUACUAGUACCCAGGAUAGAGAAAUACAGGAUCCUCUUACUAGUACCCAGGAUAGAGAAAUACAGGAUCCUCUUACUAGUACCCAGGAUAGAGAAAUACAGGAUCCUCUUACUAGUACCCAGGAUAGAGAAAGCCAGGAUCCUCUUACUAGAACCCAGGAUAGAGAAAGCCAGGAUCCUCUUACUAGUACCCAGGAUAGAGAAAGCCAGGAUCCUCUUACUAGUACCCAGGCUAGAGAAAGCCAGGAUCCUCUUACUAGUACCCAGGAUAGAGAAAUACAGGAUCCUCUUACUGGUACCUAGGAUAGAGAAAGCCAAGAUAGAGAAAGCCAGGAUCCUCUUACUGGUACCCAGGAUAGAGAAAGACAGGAUCCUCUUACUAGUACCCAGGAUAGAGAAAGCCAGGAUAGAGAAAGCCAGGAUCAUCUUACUAUUACCCAGGAUAGAGAAAGCCAGGAUAGAGAAAGCCAGGAUCAUCUUACUAGUACCCAGGAUAGAGAAACCCAGGAUAGAGAAAGCCAGGAUCAUCUUAUUAGUCCCCAUGAUAGAGAAAGCCAGGAUCAUCUUACUAGUACCCAGGAUAGAGAAAGCCAGGAUCCUCUAAUUAGUACCCAGGAUAGAGAAAGCCAGGAUCCUCCUACUGUUACCCAGGAUAGAGAAAGCCAGGAUCCUCUUACUACUACCCAGGAUAGAGAAAGCCAGGAUAGAGAAAGCCAGGAUCCUCUUACUGUUACCCAGGAUAGAGAAAGCCAGGAUCCUCUUACUAGUACCCAGGAUAGAGAAAGCCAGGAUAGAGAAAGCCAGGAUCCUCUUACUAGUACCCAGGAUAAAGAAAGCCAGGAUCUUCUUACUGGUACCCCGGAUAGAGAAACCCAGGAUAGAGAAAGCCAGGAUCCUCUUACUGGUACCCAGGAUAGAGAAAGCCAGGAUCCUCUUACUGGUACCCAGGAUAGAGAAAGCCAGGAUUCUCUUACUGGUACCCAGCAUAGAGAAAGCCAGGAUAGAGAAAGCCAGGAUCCUCUUACUGGUACCCAGGAUAGAGAAACCCAGGAUUGAGAAAGCCAGGAUAGAGAAAGCCAGGAUUCUCUUACUAGUACCCAGGAUAGAGAAAGCCAGGAUAGAGAAAGCCAGGAUUCUCUUACUGGUACCCAGGAUAGAGAAACCCAGGAUAGAGAAAGCCAGGAUUCUCUUACUGGUACCCAGGAUAGAGAAACCCAGGAUAGAGAAAGCCAGGAUUCUCUUACUGUUUUCUGUUUAAGCUCCUAUUCUGUGUUUUCUUAUAUUCUUCUGUAUCUUUACUUUUCAUUUUCUUUGUAAAAUAAAGAGGACAUAUUCAGUAAACUGAAACUGAAACUUUACAAUCACUGUGAUUAUAUAAACACAAUAUCUGCAAAAGAAAAUACAAUUUGAUUUAGCUUGAAUAUGUUUUUAUAUUUAUUUUUAGAUCCCCCCCUUUCAGUGUGGUUGCAAUAAACACUGUUGUAAAUACGUGAAUAAACCUCUUUCUAAUAUAUUACACC